UAGAAAGAGCUUCGUAGAAGCUGAAUACCCAAUGUGAAGUAAAACAGCAAAGUACACGGAUUCAGCAGACAACUUCUGCACUCCAAAUUCUAUGUUACUCAGAACAUAGGUAAAAAUUUGGUGGAAGAAAAAUACAGGGUUUUUGUUAUAAUCAAGUGGGUGUAGAAGAUAUGAUCCAGUGUGUCGUGAAACAGUGAACGUAUAGCAGAUGUCAUUCUAUCAUAGGAUAAACAUCGUAGUGUCAGUAUUAUCUAACUAGACUGGACUCAUAAAUCAGACUACAAUAACUGUAUCAUCAUUCUCACGCAUAUUUCGAUCUUUUAUACGGCAGGCGAUAUGUCAAGAAAUGUAGACAAAUAUUUUUACGCAGAUAUUUGGAUCAUUAGUGUUACGAGUAAUGAGAUUGGCCGUUAGAAUUUUAAAAAAUAAUGUAGAGUCAAAAAGAACGAAUAGGAACUUUUCACGAAUCUUUUCAGCUUUUUCAACAUUCAAUGCAUCCGGUAUCAGUAGACGAGUGUGCCAGACACCAUGUGGUUUUCAACUUUUUCCAAUGGCGUCAUUCACCCCAUCCAUUCCUCUUUUUCUCAUUUUCUCCCACCAUAACCCUGCCAGCCACCAUCCCAACUCGUGGUUGAUAUUGAUCCAGCAGCAAUGUCUACAUGUGUCGCUAUAAUAUCAUAAUGGCUCACAUCAUUUAUAGUUCACAGCUGCAUAAUCUAAAUCCUAUUGAAUUUCGUACGUAUACAUUUUUAAAGUCAGUCCUUUUGCUAGCUUCUUUUAUGGUGGUCCAUCCGGUAUCGCCAUUCUUAUAUUCAUGGCGUCCAAUGCGAUUCUUAAGAUUUACAUAUGAAGGAACUAUGCAUAAUAUAUAUUUUAUUCUUACUCAAGAUGAGUCGCCAUAACUAAAACGGUCUUCCUAUUGAUCUGACCUGAGUCAAUUCUACACUGGCACACGUGCUUUACACCAAACAAUGGCGAACUUACCACUGACUAGGUAAUUGACAACUGAUAAUCCUCGUAUAAAAAAAUAAUAAAUUUGUAAAUCCCAUUCUAACAUUGCUUACGGGUUGUUUAAUUUGAAUAUCCAUAUCCAGUGAAUGAAACGGAUAUCUUUGUUCAUCAAUGUCAACCCUUUGACAUGACGGUACUGACUAAUAGUACAACAAACUGGAUGUCUUAUCAAUGGAGUUCACAAGUCGUAUGAUAUAUGCAUUAAGACGGUUUAUUGAUGUGGCAUUGACAUUUCUAUUUCGUAAGAAGAAAUUCGAUUUCACGAAGGAUUCUAAGCUGAUUUAUUUUUACGUCAGAACCAAAUAUGAUCAAUAAUCAAUUUUCUUAAAUAGACCAAUCCAGAAGGUUAGGGAGAAAAUAAUAUUUUAGUAUUACACACAAUAUCGAUCUUGCCAGCUACAAUAGUCGAGUUAUCUCUUAUCACAGUGCACACUACUCGUGCUUAUCGCGGUAUCAGUGUCUAUGUUAUAAAUUACGUUUUUGUUCUCGAAGGUUUCCAAGGUGUGCAAUUAUUUUUGAAUAACACGGUAGGCGAUACUAUAUAUACUGAUAGCAUUGAUUUUUAUAAUGAAAAAAAUCAUCUUGUUAUGUAUUAUGAUUGCUGGCAUAAAAUCACCUGCAUAAACAGAUGCCAUGAAUAUACUAUCAUACUGUGACUGGUAACUAGGUACUUGGUGCCAGCAAGGCUGCCGGGAUUCGCACGCCAGCUAGAGGGUGUCCGGAAAAUCAAUGCGAGACCCCGGAGGCCAAACGCCAAGAGCGCGAAGCCGUUGGCAAGGGUGCGGCAGGAACUACAGGUUCAGGCUAGUAAACUUUUGCUCGGCAACUUCUGAUGUGCUGCUGGUAAUACUUACAUGGUCACUAGAGCUUUCAUGAAGCAGUGGACCCUGGGGAUUAUACUAAGCAGCUGAAGGAUUCCAGAGGUUGAGGGUUUCAGAAGAUGUCUGUGUUAUACCAAUGAAAAUUGAUGCUCGUCGCAUGAGUGAUGGAUUCUCAUAAUUCACCUGAGCUGACUCUUUCAAAAGUGUCUUGAUAAAAGCUUCAGAGUGGAGUUGGAUGAGUUAUAACGUUGACUGGUUACCACCCAUCGAUAUCGGUUUAUUGUCUGGCAGAAUCAAUUGGGUCACCUUAAUGCAAGUGGAGGCUGAAGCAAAAAUGCGGCAUAACAAUACGAUAAAUAAUUAUGUAGGAAAAAGACUAAAAAAUGUAUGAACUUGGCCUUUGUCUAUUGUGAAUAUUUUUAUACAGACUUGAAAUGCGCCAUUUCGUGUGGUUUCUGGGAAUAAAAUAUUCCACGUACUUAUGCAAAUGUUCUUGCAUAGGUGUACACUGGUGAAACUUCCUGUGUAAGAGAUCCUGAAACAAUAGUGGCUUGAGCACCCUUGAGUAGCUCUCUGGUUUUCCUCUUGGCUUGUGAAAGGGUGAAAUGAUGUCUGUAGGGGAGUGACUGGGCUGAGAACACUGGUACUGGAUAGUGGGCUACCACAGAAAAUUAAAUUGGCUGUUUUACCGCCGAGUAAAGUGUCGGAAUUUGAUUUUAGGUUAGCGCAUUUUAAAGCAUUGUUUCCGUUACGGCAAAGUAAAUUUAUCCUAAUUCGAGUAAAAUCAAUAGGCAAUAGAAACACCAAAUAUUCUCAAGGAAUAAUUAAAACUUUUCUUUCCAUCAAAAUCAUUAAAUAAAAGAAUGAGUAGUUCGUUCUUAAAAAAUCUUCGACUGUCGCUACAGCUGACUAAGUGAAAAGAUAAACCUAAAUCCGGUGCUCGUCAGUGUCCAUUUCGUUGAUUAGAUUUUUCAUGAGAUUCUCUUCACUUGUGCAUAAUUUCCUUCUGAAAUAUGGCAGCGAUGCAUUCUGUUUUUAAAAAUAUCUUUAUCUAUACUGGACUGUAAAAAAGUGCAUAAUUUAUCAACUUAUCAUGACUACUAUGAACUCUGAUAAUAUAUCAGCUAGAAUUAUAUUAGUCAUGUGAAAUAGCACAUUGCACCAAUUAUUACUAUAAUGUAGCAGAAUGCAGCAUGAAGAGUUGCAGCGUUUUGGCAGAGAGUGUAAUUAUAUCGUCCUGACGAUGCAGUCUGAUUGGCUAUUUAUUCUUCUUAUUGCAUUUUUCAACUUGUCUACUUGUUUUUACCACCUCGUGGUACAAUCACUUUACCUCUUUAAAAUUAUCAGAGCAUUACCUGUUCGGCUCAAUGAAUAUCAUUGGCUGGGAUGAACUUUGAAUGCAUUUCGUGCAAAAUAUGCAUCAGCGAUUUUGCAUAACGAAACGACAAUUUAUACCUGAAUGAAUUCAAUGUGUUUAUCGUAUUUCAUGUAAUACGAAUAGCUACGAAUUUCUUAAGCUGAUCAAUGAACAGUAAAUCCUGAAUAGAAAUCAUUCGAACCUACUAUAGUUUGAUGAAUGAUUUUUCAUUCAAUGAUAAUUAAUUGUUUGACAUGCUUGAUUUGGAAUUGGAAUUUUCUUACCUGACUCAAUCAUGUUUCUUAUAGACUCUCUUCUAGUAAAAUACAUUUACUUGAAUGGUGAUAAGUUAUCAUGUUAUCGCUAUAAUGCCAUCAGCACUGUUAUUUUUUAUCACUUUUUUCACGGCAAAACCGUUUUAGAAUAAUCAAACACAUUAAACUUUACCUCGCGACGCCGAGGUCUCGAGCCAGCAGUUUUUCGCAUGUUAACAAUAUUAUUGUAUUAAUUAAUAAUCCUUCACUUGUCUAAUGCUAUAAAUACAUAUAUAUAUGUGCAAACAUCCCAAUUAUUCGUGUCCAAACGAUUGGAAAAUUCAAUUUUAUUUUUAUUUUUUCUUCCAAAACUAUCUUCUCCACUCCUGAAAAAGUCAUGUUAGAUUUUCUAGAAAUUAUCGAAGCAUUGUUGUUGCUUCUCCGAAGUGUCAAUUGGCCGUUAGUUUUCAGUGUGAAAUUUCUACUUUGAGCGCGAGUUUACGACGUGCAGUCAAUUAACAGUUACGAGGUUAGCGGCUCGGUAAAUUUGGAAUUCAAACAGAUUCAGAGAUUAAGGAAUCGCGUAAUUAAUAUUUCGCACACGUAUCUAUCAUGUGAAUAAAUCGAAUGUAAAAAGCAGAAAGAGAAAUCCUUUAUAUCCAUUACUAACCUUUUCGUCUUAACAAUACAGCAAUUAUAUCUCGACAAUAAAACUGUUGUAUUAGGAUAAUCCUACUGUUGUUCUACCUUACUAUACCUUCAUUAUCAUUGAUAAUCAUGCCGAUAUAAUAGGUCUCUGCAUCUAGUCAUGCUUAAGUUCAGUUUUCAUAGGCGCGAUAAAACUUUUCUAUUUAAGCCCUUAUUCUCAAUAUUUUGUAUAUGUAUGUAGUAUUCUAUGCAGCCGCUUGAUUAAUUUGGAUAAUCCCAAUAUCACGUGUAUCGUUAUUAUCCAGAGCUUUUUAAUGGCACCCGUUGGCCGUGUUCACUGACGUCUCAGAGAUGGCGCCACUUAUCAUGUGUGGGAAUCCGGUGCACAGGUAGAGCAGAAUAGACUGGAGACGACUGAGGAAGGAUAUUAAAUACAUCACUGCAAUAUAAUAUACAUUUUGUGUGGUAUAUGCGCUACCACUUUGGACUGUUACUUUUUUAAAGGACAUUAAUGAUGGCGAAAAGAGGAAGAUUGUUAAAAAGAAAGAAUGAAGAAGAGAGAUGGUAACGACUGAUUGAACAAGGAGAGAAAAAGAUGCGUAAAACUUACGCACGAGGAUCAGAUUAUUCUGGAGGAGCGAGAAA